rnacentral:rRNA from 1 species
CGGCACGCCUAACACAUGCAAGUCGAACGAAGUAGCAAUACUUAGUGGCAGACGGGUGAGUAACAUGUAGGUAUCUGCCCUUUGGCCUGGAAUAACACGAGGAAACUUGUGCUAAUACCGGAUAAGUCUUUACGGAGAAAGCUUUAUGCACCAUUGGAUGAGCCUGCACUUGAUUAGUUUGUUGGUGGGGUAAUGGCCUACCAAGACUGUGAUCAAUAGCUGAUUUGAGAGGAUGAUCAGCCACAUUGGGACUGAGACACGGCCCAAACUCCUACGGGAGGCAGCAGUGGGGAAUCUUGCACAAUGGAGGAAACUCUGAUGCAGCGAUGCCGCGUGAGUGAAGAAGGCCCUUGGGUUGUAAAGCUCUUUCGUCGGGGAAGAAAAUGACUGUACCCGAAUAAGAAGGUCCGG